GUAAUUGUAAUAAUAUACAAAUUGUAGUAUAUUACAGUUUAAAAACUUUAUAGCACAUAUUAGUUUUAAUGCAAGAAAAUAAAAUAUUUGCUAUUCUUGUCUGUCCGUCUGUCUGUGUGUGUGUGUGUGUGUGUGUGUGUGUAGUAUGGAAUGGAUUAACUUUAAUUUUAUCUGAAGUAAAUUUACCAUGAACUAAACUAAUAUAUGAAUCUGCACUUUUGUAUUGACCUUUAACUGUCACAAAUAAAAACUCCAAAUUUGUAGUACAUACACAAAUAAAAAAACUUAAGAAAAUUAAGAACACACAUACACACACACACACACACAUACAUAUAUAUAUAUAUAUAAUUUUCUUUAAAAUAUAUAUCGGGAACUAAGCUCAUAUUUGAGUCCUCACUUUUGUAUUGACCUUUAAUGUCAGAUAUUAAACUUAAAGAUAUAUGCACUCUGCAUUGUGUACCUGAUUGAUAAAUGCUGUGCUGUAACAAACAGUUUUUAAGAUUUUAAGGCAUCUUAAAUGUCAUUCUUACCCCCCACAGCGUCUGAUAUUACGCUCAAAGAAUGCUGCAACAGAACAACAACAAUAACUGCUUGGACAUGGCCCAUAGGGAUCUAUUGCAUGAAUGCAGAAGAACCGAUGUCUCAUUCACCAGUGCCCUUGAGUUUGGAGCCAUACCCCUGAUUAAAGGCCUGAGAGCAUGGGCUGUGAGUGGCGGCUACUCUAAAGCCAGGAGAAAGGCUGCUAAUGGACCGCGAGCACAGGGCACAUGCCAACAUCCUUCUGAAAACAAAGUAGGGCAGAGAAGCUGGUCAGGGCAGACCAGCAGUGGCUAUGGGCACACACUGGAUCGCACAAUUAGUGCAACCAGAACUCCAGGGGUCAGUCAAGGCAGUCUUGGUGCUCUUGUAACUGUGGCCUCUUUGAAAGGCACUGAGGGGGGUGGCAGGCAGACUCAGACACGCUGUCUCUUUCUCAAGGCCCAGGGCAGGGGCAGCUACAUCUGCGCUGUUGGAAACCGAGGGACUGGGACGAGAGUCACAGGUCCUUGGACUCACACUGUCAUUCUUGAGGGGAAAAAGGAAGAGCUUAGAUGUUCCUCUAAAGGGCCGAAGCUGAGCCAGGAUGGGCCAGAUGAAGGUGGACUUUUCAAGUCCAAGCCCAGGGCUGUACGAAAAUGGAGGAAGUGCAGUAAAACAACAGGCUUAGCGGAGAAAAGAACAGCGGCUCACGGCAAAGGGGAAAUCGCCAAUCAAAGCAGUCAACCGGAAUAUGGUGAUCAAAAGAAAGCAGUGAAUUCAGACACACAACCACUUAACGUAAUACCAGAUAACACAAUAACACAAUGCCAAAAGGGUAGCAGUGCUAGCUAUCCACUUGAAGUCACUAUCGACUUGAAGUUGGGCAAAGACGAAAGGGCUCAUUCACCCAUAUCAGUAAAAACUGAUGCACCUGAGAGCACGGAUCCACAAACCUGCUGCUCUUCUGCCAAACUAUGUGCCAAGCCAGUUGAACAGGUUGAAGCUGGGAUGAGUAUUAAUCAGUCCGAUAACUGUUCUGAAAAUGAAUCCAGUUGUGCCAAUGGUGAUGCACAAGGAAACACUGAGGUUAAUAAAUGUGACCUUGAUGAUCGCCAGAACAUUCAAAACUCUGUUACUGAUGUGCCAAACCUAGUGUCACCUGUAGCAUCUAAGAGUAACUUUAAUAGUCUAAGAAUCAAAUUGACCACAACAGACUGUAAUAUUGAGCCAAGCAUUGAUCAUUCCCCCAUGCUAACUCCCUCCAUAGUCCCUGUCAGCAUUCAGAAAAAUGAAGAAUCCAGGGCGGAUGUGUGCCUACUGGACCGUGAAAAUCUACAUUCAGUGGAGCCUGGUGAUCUUGCAACACAGAGAGAUGGGACUCCAGACACAAAGACUACAGUCGUGCUGGAGGACCGCGCUCCAGUGGGUGUUGCAUGUAGCACUACAGAAAAGAAGAGGAGGCCGUCCAUGUGCUCACCUCAGCAUUGGGAGGAAUUAAUCACACGGCAUGGAGAACAUGAAGUUCAGCAGUCUGACAAAUCCUCUUCACGAGGCUUUAGCGCACCAACAGCCAAUAUAACUAUAACCACUAUUCACUCCCUGGUUAAUCCUGCCACCACAGCAGCCAUAGCAACAGCCAUCCCAGCAUUAAGAGAGGGGGAGGUGGGGGCGAGAGGUGGAGACUUUCUGCCUCUGGUGGUGAACUCAGAGUUGCUAUCAGAGCCGGCAAGAGUUGACGACAAGGACAAGGUGGCCGCUGACGAGGGGUCUCUUGAUGUGGACGAGGAGGAGGAGGAGGAGGAGUUUGGGGCUUUCAUGCAAGCAGGUGGAGAGCGGCUGUGGACGGAUGGAUUCAGUGAGGUCCAACAUUCGGCUGAGGAUUACAAGUGUGAGGAACACACAAGUUCUGCUGAUGCAAAUGAACCUGCAUCCUGGGCAUCUGAUUGGACUGCAGUUCAGUCAUUCCAGCAGUCUGAGAGCACAUGGACCGCCUUCAGCCAGGAGACUGUGGAGCAGAAGAUAGCACCUGGUGGCCAGUGGUGGACUUCUACCGAAAAGCCAAAGCUUCCCCUCUCUCCUCUCCAUAAUGUGUCAAAUGUGUUUCUAGAGGCCUUUCCCUCUGAAAAGUCCCCAUGUGAAGAUCCUGAACACAUUCCUACACUAAAGCAGCUUCUGCAAGGACCAGCUGAAAACAGCAAUACAGGGAAGCACAAGGAGCAGAGCUUACUUGAAGGCCUCCAGGAUCUAGAGCGGAUGAUUGGUGUGAAAUAUAAGAGGGCGGAGUCUCUUUCCUGUAAACUUCUCCUUCAGUCACUGCAUCUGGAACAUCCCAGCUCUGAAUGUGUUCGUCUGAAGACCAGUGCCAGAUUUUCUCCAAAUCUCCCAACAUCCAACCAGCAGUUAGCUGCAAAUGCUAAAAGGAGACUGUCUUAUGACUUCAACAGAAAUAUUAUGACCUAG
ensembl:lncRNA